rnacentral:rRNA from 1 species
UACGUAGGUGGCAAGCGUUUGUCCGGAAUUAUUGGGCGUAAAGCGCGCGCAGGCGGUCCUUUUAAGUCUGAUGUGAAAGCCCACGGCUCAACCGUGGAGGGUCAUUGGAAACUGGGGGGACUUGAGUGCAGGAGAGAAGAGUGGAAUUCCACGUGUAGCGGUGAAAUGCGUAGAGAUGUGGAGGAACACCAGUGGCGAAAGCGGCUUCCUGGUCCAGCACCGACGUUCAGGCACGAAAGCGUGGGGAGCAAACAGG